AUACGUAGGGUGCGAGCGUUGUCCGGAAUUACUGGGCGUAAAGAGCUCGUAGGUGGUUUGUCGCGUCGUCUGUGAAAUUCCGGGGCUUAACUCCGGGCGUGCAGGCGAUACGGGCAUAACUUGAGUACUGUAGGGGAGACUGGAAUUCCUGGUGUAGCGGUGAAAUGCGCAGAUAUCAGGAGGAACACCGGUGGCGAAGGCGGGUCUCUGGGCAGUAACUGACGCUGAGGAGCGAAAGCAUGGGUAGCGAACAGGAUUAGAUACCCUGGUAGUCCAUGCCGUAAACGGUGGGCGCUAGGUGUAGGGGGCUUCCACGCCUUCUGUGCCGUAGCUAACGCAUUAAGCGCCCCGCCUGGGGAGUACGGCCGCAAGGCUAAAACUCAAAGGAAUUGACGGGG
rnacentral:rRNA from 1 species